GGUUUGAACAAGAAUGGCCCCAUAAGC
rnacentral:piRNA from 1 species